GGACAGCCAUGAUAAGGACCGCCAUUGGGACCCAAACACCAGUCAUGGCAGGCUACCCCUGUGGCAUUAAGAGACAGGGAGUCGUAGAUUGCCUUCCCAUGGCAAACUCCAGCAAAAAGAGGAAAGCACGCAGGACUCCUCCGAAGUGGUUUGGCCAGGCGAAACGACACUUCCAGGAAUUCGGUCUGAAGCAAAACCCAAAGUAUCCUGUAGGUAAACGGGAUGCGUACGCCCCGAAGGAGACCAAGCUUGGAAAACUCGUCCCUCGCCGAGGAUCCGGCAGCCAGUUGGAGAACCGCUGCGUAUGGCGGUUCGCACCGAAUGUAAUCAUGCCAGUACUCGAGAUCCUGGAGGGUGAGGCAACCAAUCAUCGGGGUCUCUCCAUGGUCGGGUGAAGCCGUCCGCCACACGAGUGUCUCGUCCCGCAUACAUUCUGUCACAAAUGACGAAUACUUGUCCAGAAGCUAUAGAUAGCGAUCCUAUGUGAGAUCCGACUGCAGUCCAUAGUGGGCAACCGGUGAGAAGUCCAUACCGGAAGGUAGCGAGCAAUACUGUGAAUGUUGAACAAACCUGCAGGUAGUUCCAUGCAGUUGGCGUAAAGGAGUCCCUCCUCCGGAGUCAUCAAUUAAGUUUUAGAUGAGCUUCAUCCGAAGGUCACAUGAUUUGGUCAUACAAGGCCAAAGACGCGAGAAAGCGCCAUGUUGGAGCGGCUGAUAGUACCGGAUCCUGGAGGUAUGGCUUCAAUGGCGAAUAGGCACCGGUCAAUUAACCGGGUUGGGCCCCUAAGUGUAACCCGCGGGUUGCAGAGUAUAUACCUGGUAUUUUCCUUGAAGACGGACAUCUUGGUCCUCGGGAGGCGGAGCACCGCCUGGACCGAAUAUUCCAUGAAAGACCGGAAACUGGGUUGA